GCUUAUUUAGUAUAAAUAGUACGGCUGCCUUCCAAGUAGCGAGUUUAAAGGUUGUUUUAAAAUAAGUA
rnacentral:tRNA from 1 species